rnacentral:tRNA from 1 species
GGAGAGGUGCCAGAGUGGCCGAAUGGACUGGUUUUGAAAACCAGCGUCCUUCACCGGACCGUGGGUUCAAAUCCCACCCUCUCCGCCA